UACAGAGACUGCAAGCGUUAUUCGGAUUCACUGGCGUAAAGGGUGCGCAGGCGGUUGGGUGUGUCAGAUGUGAAAUCCCGAGGCUCAACCUCGGAACUGCGUCUGAAACUACUCGACUAGAGUACUGGAGAGGGUAACGGAAUUCACGGUGUAGCAGUGAAAUGCGUAGAUAUCGUGAGGAACACCAGAGGCGAAGGCGGUUACCUGGACAGUUACUGACGCUCAGGCACGAAAGCAUGGGAGCAAAAGGG
rnacentral:rRNA from 1 species